rnacentral:misc_RNA from 1 species
GAUGAAGAACGCAGCGAAAUGCGAUAAGUAAUGUGAAUUGCAGAAUUCAGUGAAUCAUCGAAUCUUUGAACGCACCUUGCGCCCCUUGGUUAUUCCAAAGGGCAUGCCUGUUUGAGUAUCAUGAACACCUCAACUCUUGUGGUUUCCCACAAUGAGCUUGGACUGUGGAGGUUUUGUUGGCCCUGAGGUCAGCUCCUCUCAAAUGGAUCAGCUUACCGGUGUUUGGUGGCAUUACGGGUGUGAUAACUAUCUACGCUCGUGGUCGUCUCCAAAUAACCUCCAGUGAUGGAGGUUCGCUGGAGCUUAUAAAUGUCUCUCCCCAGUGAAGACAGCCUUUGAACGUUCGAUCUCAAAUCAGGUAGGACUACCCGCUGAACUUAAGCAUAUCAAUAAGCGGAGGA